rnacentral:rRNA from 1 species
GGAGUGCUCGAAAGAGAACCUGCACACAGGUGCUGCAUGGCUGUCGUCAGCUCGUGUCGUGAGAUGUUGGGUUAAGUCCCGCAACGAGCGCAACCCUUGCCAUUAGUUGCUACGAAAGGGCACUCUAAUGGGACUGCCGGUGACAAACCGGAGGAAGGUGGGGAUGACGUCAAGUCCUCAUGGCCCUUAUAGGUGGGGCUACACACGUCAUACAAUGGAUGGUACAAAGGGUCGCCAACCCGCGAGGGGGAGCCAAUCCCAUAAAGCCAUUCGUAGUCCGGAUCGCAGUCUGCAACUCGACUGCGUGAAGUCGGAAUCGCUAGUAAUCGUGGAUCAGAAUGUCACGGUGAAUACGUUCCCGGGUCUU